GAUUAUAUUGUAUGCUGUGAUAAUUUUUAUAGAUUUGCUGGUUCAUUAUUUAAACCAUUUAUUCCUUAACGCAAAUAUGUAGUAAGACUGAAGUUAAUGUGCAAUUGUCUGUCCAUUUAAUGAUAUUUAAGUACAAUAUUUGCAAUUAGAAAUGUAAGGUAUCUGUGUCAUGUUCUCUCCACAACAGAUAUGGGGAUCUUUCAGAAAUUCGCUAGACUUUCUCUGAAGUCCACAUAUAUUUGGUCACUGUGCCCACAGUACAGCAUUGCUCUCAGUGUAGACGGAAGAGCUCUGAAACCCACAGCAGAGGGUUUGGGAGCCAGUCCAGCCAACCUGGGUGCUGCCCCACCACGGUUACCCUUCUCCAGGGUCACACAGGAAGACCUUGCUUUCUUUAGAACACUGCUGCCUGGAAGAACCAUCACUGAUCCAGACCUGCUGAAGUCCAGCGAUGUAGACUGACUUAAGACAGUGAAAGGUAUAUUGAGCGGUGUGUCCAAAUUGAGGAAACACAGGUCUGGUUGGAGGAAGUGUCCCUGUUUUUGAUGAGAUCAUCCUUUCCACUUCAUUAAUGAACCAAGUCAUCACAUUCGACAAGAUCUCAGGUAUCCUCACUUGUCAGGCAGGCUGUGUGUUGGAGAACCUCUUAAGAGGAAAGAGACUUCAUUAUGCCGCUGGAUAGGGGUGAAGGGAAGCUGCCAUAUUGGAAGGAAUGUGUCCAUUAAUGCAGGUGGUCUCAAGACUGCUGUGCUAUGGGUCGCUUUGAGGGACAGUUCUAGGCCGAGAAGUGGUGAGGUCCUCCAGUUUAACAGAAAUGAACACCAACAUUAGACGCUUUUGUAAGGAUGAAAGAACCUGAGAUACCUUGAUCUCCUGAGAAACAGACAAUACAAACAUACACGGGCAUCUUCGAGACACCCCACAGAGUGGAGGUGCAGGAGACCUUUCCCUUCUGGCCAUUUGUUUCAUUUUAAAUCCUUUCCCCUAUGCUUCCUUCUACUCAAUCAGCUCAAAAUGAUUACUUGAAAUUGUCAAUGCAAGUGAACUAACAGUCAUGUCCGGUAUCAUUUGAAAUGUCUUGAGUGUAACUGGUAUAAUGGUCUCAGUCUUACAAAAGUAGAUUAAAAGAUUAUACAGAUCAUAAGAGUUAAGAUAUAUUUUGCUUACUGUAAUAGGAGUACCCCUUCCCAUGGUCCUCCAUGUUCCCAUUGAGUUGUAAAAUACGUUGUAAAUACAGCUAUCCAUCAGUACCCAGCUUAGUGAUGGUACUUUCAAAACUGCUUUUAUAAAUUUGUAGACAUUUUGAGUUACAUUUAUAUACAAUUAAAUAGUCUCUUAAACCAAGCCUGCUUAACCAACCUCUCCUUCAGAGUAGGGUAUAACGCGUUACACAGUAAUGCAUUACUGUAAUUAAUAACUUUUCCUGGUAAUGCGUAAUUUGAUUACAGUUAGUUAUGCCAAUACAAUUACGUUACUUAACAAAUACAGUGUUAACAAUUAUGAUGUUUUGCCCGUCAUUAUGCCUUUUAAUAAAUCACUGGAGAACGUGAGCUAAAAAAAAUCAUUUUCAUUCAUUUUAGUGAAUCGUUUUCAGGAAGAUAUCGACAGAGACUGAAUGCAGAAAGCGCACCCUAUUUCUUUUAUUUUUUUUAUUUAUCAGGUUUUUAAGAUAUUGGGAGUGUAGGCAAUAAAAAUAAUAUACUUGUGUAUUUUUCCAGUCAUUAUUAAAUGAAAGAACUAGGUUUUUCUCUUUGUAGCGUAUUUUCUAGGUUUGAUAACUUGAAAAGUAAACUUGAAAGUAAAGUAAUUCGUAAUCUGAUUCCUUUUAAACGCAGUAAUCACUAAUUUAAUUACAAUUUUACAGAAUUAGUAAUUUGUAUUGGAUUACUUUUUUUUUUUUUUUGAGUAACUUACCCAUCACUGCUCUCCUUAAAGCAAACAAAACAAGUCCUUUAACUAAAUUAAAUUACCCAAUACCCUCAUAUUAUACAGACAAUGUUAUUUCUUUAUUUAGGGAUAUGACAAACAAGCAUGAACAAUUGAUGAAAAUAUACAUAGUUAUCAAAUGCGUACCACAGCGAUUUUAGGCUAAGGCAAAAACAUGAGAUGAUGUGUGUGUUAUGAUUUAAAUUUGGUUGAUUUUGAAGAAAACACAAAGAAUUGCAGCCUCUUUGAACAUUCAUAAAAACAGUAGCUUAACCAUUUUUUAUUUGGAAAGAACUACCCGUUGAAAGGCGUACAGUUAGGAAUUGACAUUAUUCUUGGAAUUGUGUUUGAUGAUGCAUUGAAACUAUUGAGCCACAUCAAAAGAAGACCAUCUCAAAUUUUGAAGAAUUGAAUAAGCACUGAAUUCUUCAAAUAAAAGCCCAGCAACAUUUUUUUUUUUGCAUGUAAAUACACCAGAAUUUGUCUAAUGUUCCUCACUAACAAACAAUUGUUCAAUACAUUGAGACAAUAAAAUAUUGUCAUUAACAAUGGCUGUUAAUCCCCGCCAUCACAUACAAAGAA